AUACUGAGGGUGCAAGCGUUAAUCGGAAUUACUGGGCGUAAAGCGCACGUAGGCGGUUUAUUAAGUCAGAUGUGAAAGCCCUGGGCUUAACCUGGGAACUGCAUUUGAGACUGGUAGGCUAGAGUAUGCUAGAGGAUAGUGGAAUUCCGGGUGUAGCGGUGAAAUGCGUAGAUAUCCGGAGGAACAUCAGUGGCGAAGGCGGCUAUCUGGACCAAUACUGACGCUGAGGUGCGAAAGCGUGGGGAGCGAACAGAAUUAGAAACCCUAGUAGUCC
rnacentral:rRNA from 1 species